GGAAGAGACAAUUGCGCAUCGCGUCCCGCAGGCGUGGUGCGGCCAGCCUGGGUGGCAUAAAAGGCGCGGGAAGUCAGGUCCCGCUCUCACUCCCUCUCCCGACCAGGUCCAAGAUUCACGAAGCGCCCACCCUCCUCCCCCUUUCUGCUGGCUGCCAGUUCUCACGGUUCUGACUACCUCUCCAGCCCAGGGUGUCGACUGCCUAGUCUUCAACUGCCUCCCAACAUGGUAGCGAGGUCCUGAGCUGAUGUACCCUAUGGCGAAGAUUGAGGAAGUAGUUUCCUGAAGUAAUGAAUGGCACUUUAUAACCAGCAGCCGGCACCAGCUCUGGACAACGUCGGAGUGGACAAGGCCCAGAUCCCGUGGGGAGGAAGGUCUACACUAACAUGUAAAAGAACAUAGAUUGGAAAGUCCUAAACUACAUUCCUGGAGUUUGAAGGUGUUGAUUGACAUUCAGAAUCAGAUUACAAUGGUAUCAAAGCAUUGACUGACUUGAAGUGUGGCUGUUCUACUCUGCACAUCUAUGAAGCUGGUUGUGGAGGGUCCUUCCAACAUAAUUUCAGGGAUGGUGUACAGAACAAUUGGUGAAAGUUAUGCUACAGAAAAUAGCAGUUGUGAGAAUUAGUUGGUAAAAAAUAUGGAUUGGGAAGUGCUGAAUUACAUCCUGGACUUUGAAAGUGUUGAAUGCUUGACAUUCAGAAUAAGGUGCUAAUGAAGAUUACAAUGGUACCAAAGCAGUGAGGCUAUUCUACUUCACACAUCCAAUAAACUGGUGGAUGUUGUCCUUGUUACUCUGGAGUUUUCCCUGUCCUUUUGGAGUCUUCAGUGGAUUGCAUCUAGGAGGAGCAGCUUCCCACAACCUGAAAUGGACAAUAUUAGAUGAUACACUGUAUACUAUGCAAUAAAUAUUCUAAUGAAACUA
rnacentral:lncRNA from 1 species